rnacentral:tRNA from 1 species
UUAGAAAAAGAGGAAUCGAACCUACCUAAAGAGAUCAAAACUCUUCAUAUUUCCCUUAUAUUAUUUUCU